GUGCUUGCUUCAGCAGCACAUAUACUAAAAUUGACCAGAUACAGAGGAUUAGCAUGGCCCCUGUGCACGGAUGACACGCAAAUUCGUGAAGCAUUCCAUAUUUAA
rnacentral:snRNA from 1 species